rnacentral:rRNA from 1 species
UCUUCGGAGAGUUUGAUCCUGGCUCAGGACGAACGCUGGCGGCGUGCCUAAUACAUGCAAGUCGAGCGAAUCGAUGGGAGCUUGCUCCCUGAGAUUAGCGGCGGACGGGUGAGUAACACGUGGGCAACCUGCCUAUAAGACUGGGAUAACUUCGGGAAACCGGAGCUAAUACCGGAUACGUUCUUUUCU